ACAAGUUGCAACACACAACACCUAAACAGAUACAUGGUAACGAUCGAAUAUACGUCGUUGGUGCUUCAUAUAAACCUCUAUCUCGACACGCUACUAUUGGCAUUGAUUCGACACUUACAGACCGAGUAGUUCUACGCAAGACCUUUAGGACUCGCCAGUAACAGAAAAGCUUUGAUUCCAAUUAAUAGGAACUUUAAAAGUGAUUAAUUUACAACAAAGUCAGCAAUAAAGGAAGAUACUAAUAACUAUAGGUUUUGAAAUAAAAGCUUUUUUUUAUAUUCUUGGAGAAAUUACUAUUCAAGGUGCGGCUUGCUGAUGUCAGCUAUGUAUCAAGAUUUAUCUCUACUCAUGGUAGUUGUGGUAGCUAUAUUCACAGUCCAAAUAGUUUCAGCAGAUGCGAACUCUAUAUUUAAGGAUGUCAAUACGGCUGAGAAAAGAUUUGUAGCAUUAGAUGAUGAUGAUAGUAAUAAUGAAAUGCCUUAUAAUCAACAAUAUUGGUACUAUCCCCAUACAUCACAUAACUUUCUACAGACCCUUCUCAGAUAUCUGGCCAUUAAUGAGCAGUCGUAUCGUAACACAGUAAAAAGACAAAGAACGUUUGGUUUUAUGGGGAGUCGGGGUAAACGGGGAGAUGUCGAGGAUAUCAAUGAAUAUCUCAGACAACUACAUGAAGCGGUAUACAGAAGACGAUAUGGACCAUUGGCACAACGCUCUAUGUUUGAUAGCCAAAAGGAUGACCUGUUAAAGAUUAAACGACAGCCACACCGUGGCUUUCAUGGCAUGCGGGGAUAAAUGGUACCUGUAGCAAGUCAUCAAAUAGUGGGUCCAACAAAACAGACAAUAUAAACUAUCUCAUGCACCGAGCGAUAACAGAUCUUAACAUUCCUUUCAUAUGUGUAAAUUAUUCUUCAAUAUACAGACAAGUGCUAACCUUUAUGUUUUGUAAUGGUAUCAUUCUGACCUUUGGUUGAAUUUCGCCAACAAUAAUUGUCAGCUGUGUGACCUUCCCGGAGGUCAUACAAUAAUUUUCAACAGAUUGAAGAAAUUUCAAUCCAGCUCAUUAAGAGGUUGUGUUUAAAAAAUUCAAGAUUUCUUAAGAGGCUUGAAUUCUGUUUCAUAGCCUACGUAAAUUUUCGUUUAUCUGUUGGCUUUACGGAUUUAUUUUUCUGUCUAUCUGUGUGAGCGGUAAUAUAGACGAGAAACGAAUCAAAAUAUGUCGUGGAUUUUAUGAACAUGGUCGAAUUUUAUUACUUAGUUCUGCUUUUUCAAAUUUUGAUUAGAGAAAGCCGUCACCAGUGCAUCGCGGUUCUGUUUUUGGUGACGCUUCAUAGUAGGAUUAACUUCUAAGACUAUAAAGCUAAGAUAUGACUAUACACACAGUUGACACCGAUACCAAAGAUGUAUUUUCACUUGGACAGUCGGCGUUAGACUCUGUCUCACCACUAAGGUGAGACGAGAAUUGCAAAGAACCAUGCAGAAAAUGGCGUCGAUUUUUGCAAAUUAAAGUAUGAAAAUAUGGGAUGGGAGUGGGGAAGAAGAUUUGGCUUUAUUUGUUAUAUUUUUCUGUUGGAUUUUUGUGGUUCUUUUGUCUAGUAAAGAAGAACUUUUGUUGUUGAUCAGGUUUUCAAUGUCCAUUUGUUUUUUAAACAAUGAUCCUAUUUUAUAAUCCAAUCUAAUUCAUGUUGACAUAAAAAUUCCACCUUUUAUGGUUUUUGUCUGUGUAGUGUUUAUCAACCAACUGUUUAUAGAUGUAAAGACAAAUUAUCUAUAGAAAUGCCCUUUAGUUGCUGCCUCGGUAAACAUACAGAUACUGUAUUAAUAAAUACUAACAGUAAUUGCUAAAAUGCAGUAAUACACAUAAAUUAACACGAAUCCCGCAGAACAAAAGAACGUACAAGACAAAAGCGGCGCUGUAAGUCCCAGGUCAGUAGCGAAACAUGUUGGGUUUUUUUGUAGAAACACAACCGGCUUUAUCCGAAACGUACACAAUCAACCAAUAGAAACUGUCGACCCCUAAAGGUGUCAGUCAGAAUUCGGUCUUCUAGAAUUGAUCGGGUAAUUCGGAGAGGGGUGGGGGUAAAAUGAAAGCCAUUCGAAAUUUCGUAUUUAGUAGUCACAUGUUGUGGAGGGUCAUUUAUCGCAACUUUAGUAUCCAUCAAUUCACCAACUGUUGAGUUCAUGUUACAGAUGUUUCCAAAUACCAAAAAGUAAGCGAGAAAGAUAUGGUGGAUAAAGUGGAUUUUUGAUAUUUUAUUUAUCAAAUAUGUCAAAUGUACUGGGUAAUAAAGUUGUUAAUCUAAUUCAUUUACUUUUAAGCGACUACUGGUGGUAUAAUGAUGCCAAUGGAUUUUGUGAAAUUAUGUUGUAAAGUUUGAAUGUAGGACAGACUGCAUGCUUAAGUAUGACUCACAGUCAUUGCAAUUCGUAUAGCAAAGCUCUGUCUACAUGCGAACAAAGUAAUACCAAUCACAGUGUUGUGCAGAAAAGGAUUAACUAAAUUUUUAUGUACUGUGUAUCUUUGGUUUUAGAAAUAAAAUUUCAAUUAAAUACUAUAAA